GUCCUUCCUCUCUGCAAUACGCACAUUGACUUCCACCUAAUGGUAGUCUAUUAUUCCUAAUCUCACCUUCCCCUCGUCUGCCUACUCCUGUAAUUGCUACGGCUAACUUAUCCACUUUCUUUUUCAUCAUGCUUCCCUAUUCAUGUAAACCCUGUUUGCGACUUCCAUUAACUGUGUUAUGGACAUCCCCGCAAACUUUUGCAGUUUCCUUUUAAUGUCACUCUGGGCCUGGCUGACGAAUGCCAAAGUAAUCAUACGAGAAUUCAGGGUCUUUGGGAUAACAAAGGGGUAUAAAGUCUGUAGGAUUCAAGCAGUCUCU